CAACAACCAAAGAAACAAAAAAACAAAAAAAAACAAAAAAUAAGAGCUGGAGCAUUUUCUGCAGCUAGAGCUGAUCAACGGGUGCCUGAGCGCUUCCUUGCUGCACUCUCAUGACACGGAGACACGGGCCACCAUGAAUUUGGCGCUUGCUGGUGACAUUCUUGCUGCCGGACAGGAUGCCCAGUGUCAGCUUCUUCGUUUCCAGGUCCAUCAACAGAAGGGCAGUAAAGCGGAGAAGUCAGGUGAAGAGCUUUGGAAAAAGUCGCUCUAAUUCUUGGUCUCCAAAAACGAGAGAUUAGGUGUGGGGCAGUGGUCACAUUGAAGUCUGUACUUGGGUCACUAGAGGACUGGUGUUAGUUAAUACAGAUGCUCAGGUCCAUCUGAGGGAGGUGGUGCACAGCUGUAGUCUC
rnacentral:lncRNA from 1 species